GACGAACGCUGGCGGCGGGCUUAACACAUGCAAGUCGAACGGAAAGGCCCUGCUUUUGUGGGGUGCUCGAGUGGCGAACGGGUGAGUAACACGUGAGUAACCUGCCCUUGACUUUGGGAUAACUUCAGGAAACUGGGGCUAAUACCGGAUAGGAGCUCCUGCUGCAUGGUGGGGGUUGGAAAGUUUCGGCGGGUGGGGAUGGACUCGCGGCUGAGCAGCUUGUUGGUGGGGGAGUGGCUUACCAAGGCGACGACGGGUAGCCGGCCGGAGAGGGUGACCGGCCGCACUGGAAGGGAGACGCAGGCCAGACGCCUACGGGAGGGAGCAGUGGGGAAUAGUGGACAAUGGGCGCAAUCCUGAUCCAGCCAGACCGCGUGGGAGAAGGAGGCCGUCGGGUUGGAAAGCCCUUUUGUUGGGAAAGAAAAGCAGCAGGUUAAUAACCCGCGGGUCUGACGGUACCCAAAGAAUAGGCACCGGCUAACUUCGUG
rnacentral:rRNA from 1 species